GGCUGGGGCGCCACGAACCCAGCCUGCUCCUCAACCCUCUCUCGGCCCUCCAGGCAUCACAGUGCACCGCUGCCCUUCUGCGGUGGGCAGGGGUCUCGGAGGACCAGAGAAGCUGGGGCCGGGAGCCUGCACCUGAGACGUCCUGGGAGCUGGCCUGCCCGCCACACGCCCCACUCUUCCCAGGCCACGUGGAAGACACUUGAAGUGGGCUGGUGGAAUGUCGCCCUGCCUCGGCUCCUUUCCCGUCAACAGGACCCUCUCCCUUCUCCCGGGUGCCGGCAUAGGGGUCAAAAGCCCCCCAGGAUUCUGAAUCACAGCUGCACACUCUGGGGGCACUGCCAUGUGGCUUUCUAGGAAGAAAAAGCACCUGCCUGAUUCCCAAGUCCCUCAGCCCCAAGGGACCACAGCUUCGGAAAGGGAUGUGGGGUGGGCACAGGGCGGGCAGGGGUCCACAAGAGAGCUGCAGGGGGUUCCGGGACAGCACUGGGCUGGGAAGUUGGGGGACUUGAGGCUAAGCUGCUGUGUGACCCUGGGGUUGUCAACUCCCUUCUCUGGGCCUCAGUUUCCCCCCCUCUCUAAAGUGGAAGGAGACAUUGCCCGAUGUCUAAUGCUAAAUCUGCAGGUGACUUGACUCCCAGCUUGGGAAGGGACCCUCUCCCUGCCCUAGAGGGGCUUCAGUCCCUCUCUACUCCAGCUUUCUUGACCCCCACACCUGUUUCUAGCCCCAGACCCCCCAGACCCCACACCCUCUCUUGGCUUCCUUCCUCCCCCCGCCAGCCCCCCGGCCCUGCACACCCCAGCAGAGUCCCUGGGCAGCACAGUAAAGACGACUGGUUUCGGUAUCAGUUUGUAAACUUUAAGGAAAAUGUGUCUCUGUUUUCCUGUCCGUUAUUGUCGGAUGUUGGUUUGUUCACAGUCGGGUGGUGGUCAGGUGUGUGUGUGCGUGCGUGCGUGCGGGUCUGCAUGUGCGUCCUCUCCUGGGCCUUGGCCCCCGAGUCUGCUCCCCGCCC
rnacentral:lncRNA from 1 species